CCCAGCCCACAGGCCUUGCCUCUGGCUUCCCGCUCUGACCCCAGCCCGCCGGGGAGGGCUCAGCCGCGACAUGGAGUUACAAGGUUCUGGAGAAGGCUUUGCUGACCUUGUAGGAUGUGAAAGGCCAAUAAACUGUCAUUGUGUGAGAUAUGUUCUGUCUUCAUGGGGAGCAGAUGAUACAUCUGAAGGAGUCCCAUCAAGCUGCGGUCUCACAACAGCCUUAGCUGAGUCUGAAGAAAUCCCUGAAAGCACAGGGCACCUCGGUGAUGAGUGAAACCAGGGAUAAAGCACUGAAAGUUGGCUGAACCAG